AACGAACGCUGGCGGCAGGCCUAACAUAUGCAAGUCGAACGCCCUGGCAACAGUGCGUGGCAGACGGGGGAGCAACGCGGGGGAAGGUGCCGUUCGGUUCGGAAGAACGCAGGGAAACUUGAGCUAAUACCGUGUACGUGCGAGAGCUGAAAGAUUUAUCGCCGAAGGAUCGGCGCGCGUCCGAUUAGCUAGUUGGUGAGGUAACGGCUCACCAAGGCGACGAUCGGUAGCUGGUCUGAGAGGAUGAUCAGCCACACUGGGACGGAGACACGGCCCAGAGUCCGACGGGAGGCAGGAGUGGGGAAUAUUGGACAAUGGGCGCAAGCCUGAUCCAGCCAUGCCGCGUGAGUGAUGAAGGCCCUAGGGUUGUAAAGCUCUUUCGCCAGGGACGAUAAUGACGGUACCUGGAUAAGAAGCCCCGGCUAACUUCGUGCCAGCCGCCGCGGUAA
rnacentral:rRNA from 1 species